GACAGAGGGGGCAAGCGUUGCUCGGAAUUACUGGGCGUAAAGGGCGCGUAGGCGGGAUGGCAAGUCGGUCGUGAAAUCCCUCGGCUCAACUGAGGAUCGUCGAUCGAUACUGCCGUUCUUGAGGAUUGCAGAGGAGACUGGAAUUCCCGGUGUAGCGGUGAAAUGUGUAGAGAUCGGGAGGAACAUCGGUGGCGAAGGCGGGUCUCUGGGCAAUUCCUGACGCUGAGGCGCGAAAGCGUGGGGAGCAAACGGG
rnacentral:rRNA from 1 species